AUCCUGCAGCUUCAAACCUCUGCUCAAGACAUGCCUGUGUCUUUUUCUUAGCAUCCUACAUCUGGCGCCCAACGUGGGGCAGCCCUCCCAUGGAGCAACUGGGACAGCCCCCCCUUCCGAGGGAGCAACAGCCAACUUACUUACCAGCGUCUGGAAUAGACCCCUAAGUGCACUUUCGUCCUACAGGACCCCUCAGUGGCCCUCUCUGGAUUCCAGCCCAGUGUGUGCAACCAGCCAAAGAUGUCAUGGCAUCAAGUCCAGAACCCAAUACUGAAAAUGAAGCAGGUGACUCUUCAGACAUCACAACAUCCCUUUCGCUCUUGCCAUUGCAGUUGACCAACAACCUGGGGCGAUGUGAAAAAACCUAAUCUCCAAAGCACAGAUGGUUCUGUGGCAACAGGGAAAAGAACUUACACCAGAUAAUUUAUGCACUGCCAUAUUUGUGGUUUUGACUGCAAAUUCCUUAGUCAUUCUUUGCCUCUCUUUCCUUCUUAAUUGCUGUGUGGGGGCUCAAGCUCUUCCACCUCAUCCUUUAGAAUCACAGAUGAAAUAUAAUAUUUGGGUGCAAUUAGCUAAUAUCACAAAAGUGACAAGACCUUUGUAUUUCUGAAUCAUAUGAUAUGGAAAAUCUACUCUCUACCUGUCUUAUACCUUUGUGUGUUCCAGCUUCAAUUUAAAAAAAAAAUUAUGCUGGUUUAAGCAAUUUUUUA